rnacentral:rRNA from 1 species
UGAGGGAAAGGUGAAAAGAACCGCGGGAGCGGAGUGAAAUAGAACCUGAAACCGUAUGCUUACAAGAAGUCAGAGCCCGUUAAAGGGUGAUGGCGUGCCUUUUGUAGAAUGAACCGGCGAGUUACGUUAUCGUGCGAGGUUAAGUAGAAGAUACGGAGCCGAAGCGAAAGCGAGUCUUAAUAGGGCGACAGUACGAUGAUGUAGACCCGAAACCGUGUGAUCUAGCCAUGACCAGGUUGAAGUUCAGGUGAAACUGAAUGGAGGACCGAACCGACCCCCGUUGAAAAGUUGGCGGAUGAGUUGUGGCUAGGGGAGAAAUUCCAAUCGAACACGGAUAUAGCUGGUUCUCCCCGAAAUAGCUUUAGGGCUAGCGUCGAGGCAGAGUCGCAUGGAGGUAGAGCACUGAAUGUACGAUGGCCCCAUCCCGGGGUACUGAGUAUAAUCAAACUCCGAAUGCCAUGCAGACGUACUCGGCAGUCAGACUGUGGGUGAUAAGGUCCAUGGUCAAAAGGGAAACAGCCCAGACCGCCAGUUAAGGUCCCAAAAUGUAUGCUAAGUGGAAAAGGAUGUGGGGAUGCACAGACAACUAGGAGGUUGGCUCAGAAGCAGCCAUCCUUCAAAGAGUGCGUAACAGCUCACUAGUCGAGUGACCCUGCGCCGAAAAUGUACCGGGGCUAAGCAUACUACCGAAGCUGCGGAUUCAACUUCAGAGUUGAGUGGUAGGGGAGCGUUGCAUGCACGUAGAAGCCGUACCGUAAGGAGCGGUGGAGAGCAUGGAAGAGAGAAUGCCGGUGUGAGUAGCGAGAUGUAGGUGAGAAUCCUACACACCGAUAGCCCAAGGAUUCCAGGGGAAGGUUCGUCCGCCCUGGGUAAGUCGGGACCUAACGCGAGGCCGAAAGGCGUAGUGGAUGGAAAACAGGCAGAUAUUCCUGUACCCGCGAUGGAAAUGAAGGAAUGACGGAGAAGGCUAGUGUGAGCCACUGAACGGAUUGUGGUCGAAGCAUAUAGCAGGCUGACAGUGAAAUGCGUCAGCGGGAUGUAAGAUGUGACAGGUAAGGGAACGUCCUCGGACAAGUACUGAAGCACAUGAUGCCAGCUUCCAAGAAAAGUUUCUAGUGAUGAUUCCAUAGCGGCCCGUACCAAAACCGACACAGGUGGGCAAGGAGAGAAUCCUGAGGUGAGCGAGAGAACUGUUGCCAAGGAACUCGGCAAAAUGACUCCGUAAGUUAGCGAUAAGGAGUGCUCUUGUAAAAGAGAGCCGCAGUGAAGAGGCCCAAGCGACUGUUUAACUAAAACACAGCUCUCUGCAAAGUCGCAAGACGAAGUAUAGGGGGUGACGCCUGCCCGGUGCUGGAAGGUUAAGAGGAUUUGUCAUCCGCAAGGAGAAGCAAUGAAUUGAAGCCCCAGUGAACGGCGGCCGUAACUAUAACGGUCCUAAGGUAGCGAAAUUCCUUGUCAGGUAAG